rnacentral:lncRNA from 1 species
UCAAUAUGUUCCUCCCCAAACCUUAUCCUUUGUAUAUUAUUAUGAGUUAAUUGCAUACCCGUCUCUGCAAACAUGAUAAAUUGCAGAUAUAUCAUUGCAAAACUCAAUUUUCUUAAAUUGUUCCUGUAAAAGUCCUAAUGUAUGCAGAUAUGUCCCUGCCGUUACGGUUUGUUAAAAAAAUUUCGUUAACCACAGUUAAAAACUUAACCAUGGUUAAUUAAUGACGUGAAUUGACGGUUUUACCCUUCUUCCUCUUCCUCCUCUUCCUCUUCCCUCUUCUUUGUCGCCGGCGAGGGAGGAGAUGCGGCGGCGGCGGCGGCGAACCCUCUCCCUCUUCCUCAUCCUCUUCCUUUUUCCCCUUAUUCUUCCUCUCCCUCUUUCCCCUUCUUCUUACUCUCCCUCUUCUUCGUCGUCGGCGAGGGAGGAGAUGCGGCGGCAGCGGCGAACCCUCUCCCUCUUCCUCUUAUCUCUUCCUCUCCCUCUUCCUCUUUCCUCUUCUUCUUCCUCUCCUUCUUCCUCUUCUCUCUUCUUCGUCGCCAGCGAACCCGAACCCGACCUCGCCGAAGCGCCGUCGCCGCCAUCCGCUCCAGCGGCCCGAAGAGGGAGAGAAAGAGAAAGAGGAAAUACUUUUGGAGGGACAUAUUUGUGAGGGCAAAAAUAUCAUUUCACGAAUUCACUGUUAAAAAAUAAGCAGUUCACUAACGGAUUCUAACCAGAGGAACAUAUU